rnacentral:rRNA from 1 species
UUCCGCAAUGGGCGAAAGCCUGACGGAGCAACGUCGCGUGAGUGAUGAAGGUCUUCGGAUCGUAAAACUCUGUUAUUAGGGAAGAAUAUAUGUGUAAGUAAUUGUGCACAUCUUGACGGUACCUAAUCAGAAAGCCACGGCUAACUACGUGCCAGCAGUCGCGGUAAUACGUAGGUGGCAAGCGUUAUCCGGAAUUAUUGGGCGUAAAGCGCGCGUAGGCGG